rnacentral:rRNA from 1 species
AUACGGAGGAUCCGAGCGUUAUCCGGAUUUAUUGGGUUUAAAGGGUGCGCAGGCGGGAGAUUAAGUCGGCGGUGAAAUUUUGCAGCUCAACUGUAAAAGUGCCCUCGAAACUGGUUUCCUUGAGGGGAGAUGAAGUAGGCGGAAUUUGUGGGGUAGCGGUGGAAUGCAUAGAUAUCACGAGGAACUCCGAUUGCGCAGGCAGCUUACUAAACCACUACUGACGCUCAUGCACGAAGGCGUGGGGAUCAAACAGGAUUAGAUACCCUGGUAGUCCACGCAGUAAACGAUGAUUACUAGUUGUUUGCGAUACAAUGUAAGCGACUGAGCGAAAGCGUUAAGUAAUCCACCUGGGGAGUACGUUCGCAAGAAUGAAACUCAAAUGAAUUGGCGGGG